rnacentral:lncRNA from 1 species
ACUCUGUGUCAAAUAGAAUUGAAGGCAAAAACAUUAAGAUUGGGUGAUUUUUUUUUUCAUCCUAGGGGAACCUGAUUUGAGAUCCAAUUCUUGGAGAGCACAGAGAAGUGUGGUGGUAUGUUCCAGGCUUGAACCAGCUGCCCUUUGACCCUGCCAGCAACAACGAGCCCCUGCAAUUUGGUAGUGCCAGUGGCCCUCUGGUCACAGAAGGCCUCAUUGAGAAUGGAGGGGAGUCAAGCAAGAAAAGAAAGAGAACAAAUACUCCUUCAGGUAAGCUAGGUGAUAAUGAACUCUAAGUCAGUGCUAUUGAGUCAGCAUUUUCCCAGGGUU